CCUACGGGAGGCAGCAGUGAGGAAUUUUGCGCAAUGGGGGAAACCCUGACGCAGCAACGCCGCGUGAGUGAUGAAGGCCUUCGGGUCGUAAAGCUCUGUCAGAGGGGAAGAAAUGCAGGGGUGCUAAUAUCAUCUUUGCUUGACGGUACCCUCAAAGGAAGCACCGGCUAACUCCGUGCCAGCAUACCUACGGUAAUACCGAGGGUGCGAGCGUUGUUCGGAAUUAUUGGGCGUAAAGCGCGUGUAUGCGGUUUGGUAAGUCUGAUGUAAAAGCCCCGGGCUCAACCUGGGAAGUGCAUUGGAAACUGUCAUACUUGAAUACGGGAGAGGGUACUGAAAUUCCGAGUGUAGGAGUGAAAUCCGUAGAUAUUAAGAGGAACACCGGUGGCGAAGGCGGCUACCUGGACCGAUAUUGACGCUGAGACGCGAAAACGUGGGGAGCAAACAGGAUUAGAUACCCUGGUAG
rnacentral:rRNA from 1 species